GAAAGCCAUCAUUUUACUAACAUGGCAAUGACAAGCCACAGAAAUAGGUUUGCAGCAAACAGAGAUCUAUAGAUGAAAAUAGAUUGCACAGGUGGCCUACAACAUACAUACAUGAUACAAUGGCGACUGUGCGUAAACACAUAAAUGAGAGCUAUUUAAACCAGAAAAAUUACUCUAUGAUGGAGUUGAAAAUGAUCACAAACUUAAAUAUUGAAUUCCUUUUCCUUUUGCAAGAUGCUGGCGAAGCAAAGGAAACUGAGAAGCAAAUCAUGGACGAAUACAAGGCUAGAAUAAUAUAUGUAUCAGAAGGUUGCACCUAAUUAUUGCAUUGUAGGAGAUGAAAAGUGGACUGGGAUGCUUAAGAAGUCCUAAUAUAAACGACAAACUAAUACAAAUCCAGUUAGUAUAGAUAAGUCACUCUUAAGACAUGAGAAAGUAAGAGGAAUAGAUGUACUUGGAAAAUGGGGCAUAUAAAAUAUGAAGGAGGUUGCAAAUGCUCUUCCGAACCAAGCUGGGGAAAAGAUGACGUUCCACAUGAAGCCUUCAUUGGCUCGAGUACCCUCCAUACCUCUGAUGCAAGAUCUGGCCGGUUCUUUCGUUUCAUCUCACAACACCUUAGUGCCACGUGAGCCAACAUUUCAGCUUGCACAAACGGCCAAUCUCCCGCCAAAGGAUCCAAGAGGGUUUUCAAGUUUCCUUUAUCUAAUGCAUACUGCACCUCCUUUGUUAUACCCAAGGCCUGCCUUGCAGUCAACAAUCUUAACAAUAUAAUUCCAAAUGAA